rnacentral:rRNA from 1 species
UACGUAGGCAGCGAGCGUUGUUCGGAGUUACUGGGCGUAAAGGGUGUGUAGGCGGUUGUUUAAGUUUGGUGUGAAAUCUCCCGGCUCAACUGGGAGGGUGCGCCGAAUACUGAAUGACUUGGAGUGCGGGAGAGGUGAGUGGAAUUCCUGGUGUAGCGGUGAAAUGCGUAGAUAUGCGGAGGAACACCGAUGGCGAAGGCAAUCCCCUGGGCCUGCACUGGACGCUCAUGCACGAAAGCGUGGGGAGCAAACAGG